UACAGAGGUCUCAAGCGUUGUUCGGAAUCACUGGGCGUAAAGGGUGCGUAGGCGGCGGGGAAAGUCAGAUGUGAAAUCCGGAGGCUCAACCUCCGAAUUGCAUCCGAUACUCCCUCGCUAGAGAGUUGUAGAGGAGCUUGGAAUUCUCGGUGUAGCAGUGAAAUGCGUAGAUAUCGAGAAGAACGCUCGCAGCGAAAGCGAAGCUCUGGGCAAUUUCUGACGCUGAUGCACGAAGGCCAGGGGAGCAAACGGG
rnacentral:rRNA from 1 species